GAAGGUAUAGCUCAGUGGUAGAGUGUCUGCUUAGCAUGCAUAAGAUCCUGGGUUCAAUCCCCAGUACCUCCA
rnacentral:tRNA from 1 species